rnacentral:tRNA from 1 species
GGAUUGUGGCUCAGUGGUAGAGUGCUUGCCUCACACUUGUGAGGCACUGGGUUCGAUUCUCAGCACCA